rnacentral:tRNA from 1 species
UCGCAACUGGGCAACGGCAUUGCCGUGGCCUUCGUCGCCACCAUCUACGGCGUGGCCAGUGCCAACCUGGUGCUGCUACC